AGCGGGUCAUGCCCGGAACUCACGAGGGACCGCCGGGGUUACUCGGAGGAAGGUGGGGAUGACGUCAGAUCAUCAUGCCCCUUACGUCCAGGGCUUCACGCAUGCUACAAUGGCCGGUACAACGGGAUGCGACAUGGCGACAUGGAGCGGAUCCCUGAAAACCGGUCUCAGUUCGGAUUGGAGUCUGCAACCCGACUCCAUGAAGGCGGAGUCGCUAGUAAUCGCGAAUCAGCAACGUCGCGGUGAAUGCGUUCCCGGGCCUUGUACACACCGCCCGUCAAGUCAUGAAAGUGGGUAGCACCCGAAGCCGGUGGCCUAACUCGCAAGAGGGGGAGCCGUCUAAGGUGAGACUCGUGAUUGGGACUAAGUCGUAACAAGGUAGCCGUACCGGAAGGUGCGGCUGGAUCACCUCCUUUCUACGGAGAAUUCAGGCCGCUGUCUAGCGGCCGGUGUCGUCCAUCGUCUGGCCGGUUGGUCCGGCUGGUGGUGGACUGCUGGUGUGGAAUGCGGUCGUUGGCUUUGUGGUAUGGGACGCGCUUUUGGGCUCCCGGACCGCCACCCCCGUCCCUCGUGGAUGGGUGGGGUUCGUGCCGGCCCGUGGCCGUGGCCUCCUGGUGGGGUCGUGGUUCGUGGGUCGUGCGUGGUGGUUUGAGAACUGGAUAGUGGACGCGAGCAAGUAUUUUUGUACUUGCUUUUGUAGUUUCGAAUGCAUGGCCCCCGUGUGGGGUCGUGCGGAUCGUUUUGUGAUCAUUUGUGUGAUGAUUUGUCGUCUGGGAGUUCAGAUGUCGAUGGGUCCUUGCGGUUGGCGUGCGCGUUGGCGUGUGUUUGCUUGCAAGGGCGUAUGGU
rnacentral:sRNA from 1 species